rnacentral:rRNA from 1 species
CGAACGCUGGCGGCGUGCCUAAUACAUGCAAGUUGAGCGCUGAAGGUUGGUACUUGUACCAACUGGAUGAGCAGCGAACGGGUGAGUAACGCGUGGGGAAUCUGCCUUUGAGCGGGGGACAACAUUUGGAAACGAAUGCUAAUACCGCAUAAAAACUUUAAACACAAGUUUUAAGUUUGAAAGAUGCAAUUGCAUCACUCAAAGAUGAUCCCGCGUUGUAUUAGCUAGUUGGUGAGGUAAAGGCUCACCAAGGCGAUGAUACAUAGCCGACCUGAGAGGGGGAUCGGCCACAUUGGGACUGAGACACGGCCCAAACUCCUACGGGAGGCAGCAGUAGGGAAUCUUCGGCAAUGGACGAAAGUCUGACCGAGCAACGCCGCGUGAGUGAAGAAGGUUUUCGGAUCGUAAAACUCUGUUGGUAGAGAAGAACGUUGGUGAGAGUGGAAAGCUCAUCAAGUGACGGUAACUACCCAGAAAGGGACGGCUAACUACGUG